rnacentral:rRNA from 1 species
UUAAACGGAAUACUGCUUACUUAGCUUUAGGUUGGGGUGACCGCGGAGUAUAACAUAACCUCCAUGAUGAACAAAACUAUUUUCUUAUCUAAGAACAACAGUUCUAAGAAUUAGUAUUCUAACAUAAAAUGAUCCGAUAAUCGAUCAACGGACUAAGUUACCCUGGGGAUAACAGCGCAAUCCAUUUCAAGAGCCCCUAUCGA